rnacentral:rRNA from 1 species
AUUGAACGCUGGCGGAAUGCUUUACACAUGCAAGUCGAGCGGCAGCGCGGGGGCAACCCUGGCGGCGAGCGGCGAACGGGUGAGUAAUACAUCGGAACGUGUCCUUGAGUGGGGGAUAGCUCGGCGAAAGCCGGAUUAAUACCGCAUAAGCUCUGCGGAGGAAAGCGGGGGACUGGUAACGGCCUCGCGCUGUUGGAGCGGCCGAUGUCGGAUUAGCUAGUUGGUGGGGAAAGGCCCACCAAGGCGACGAUCCGUAGCUGGUCUGAGAGGAUGAUCAGCCACACUGGAACUGAGACACGGUCCAGACUCCUACGGGAGGCAGCAGUGGGGAAUUUGGACAAUGGGGGCAACCCUGAUCCAGCCAUUCCGCGUGAGU